GGUUGACAGUGGAAGCAAAGAGACCUUACUGGAGAUCUCUGCAUCCCUGAGGUCUUUUGAAGUCUUCACUCUCUUACGAAGGCCCCUAUGCCUGUGCAGAGAAUGGUGCUUCUAUCUUUGCGCAGAUUUCUCUCCUUCGUUCUCUGACUCCCAAAGCAGACGAACAGGACCGGAUCCGGAGGCGGUGUUAAACGGUUGCCACCGUCGGUGUCGAUGGAAACCAGGCUCUGGGCUGCUUUAGCGUCGCAGCUCUCAGCCCUGCAAGGAGCCAGGUCUGCGAGCACCAUCUAGUGGCUCUGCUCACACAGCUAUCGCUAUGCAACACAAGCGCCCUGCUGGAAGGAGUUGGGUUACAAAAACUGGGGCAGGACAUCAGCAGUUACCCGUAACUGCAAGUGAAGAUAGGAAAAUGGGAACAGCAAGCUUCCCUACGUUAAUAUAAUCUCUAUAUAUUAAUCUUAAAUUGCUUUUCCACCACUUUGCAUUACAUACUGCUGCUAAGAAGAAGUAUGGACUCUGUAAGAUGGCAUAUCUCUGGUGAAAGGCUGAAAUCUCAUUGCUGGCAGCCACCCGGUGUCUGGACUCGCCAUAGUGUACAGAUCAUUAUUUCUGUCUCAUAUACAGUAUUAUUGCUGGGUGUUGUUUAGAAUCAUGGAAUCAUCAAGGUUAGGAAAGACCUGUGAGAUCAUGUAGUCCAGCUAUCAGUCAAUGACUUUCCUCACUGAUGUGGCAAUAGCUGCUGGGGCAGCUGUAGGGAGUGCCAACAGCUGGAAAUCACCAUUCUGCACGUACCAUUACAGAGAAGAGGGCAAUUAAAGGCCCUGACUCCAUGGGCUGUACUGAGUCAGUACUUCCCUUAGUCUGGAUGACAGCAUUGUCUCUGAAACGCAGGGAGGCAUUUCCUAGGACUUUGAUGGUUCUAAAAUGGCAAGAGGUGCGUUACUCAGGGAUAAGGUCACAUUUAAGGUCUAUUUUUUUUCCUUUGGAGACAAUGAGAACUUUGCAAGGUCAGUCAUCCCAUGUCUGGGAGCUCACCUGUGCUGUGUGAACAGCACCGGCUCUCUCACCGUGGGGGUCCCUCUGAAACAUGUCAGAGGGUGUAAAGUGUUCAGGAAGAAUUGAGAGAGGCAUUCAGUGUGCCAAGACCCCCACUGCUUGGCUUCCAUUUAUGGUUUCUGGUACCAGCACAAAAAAAAAAAGCUAGUGCUGGAGAAAUGGCUCCUUGCACAGUGUGGCUCUGAAGCUUCCUCUGUGCUUAGCGUAGACAGCAGAUGCUCUGUGUUUGGCCAAAGCUCAGUCAGAUUAGCACAAUGCAUUUCACUGUGCCAUGAGCUCAGGCAGCUGGGAUGGGAGGUGCCUGCUGCAAGUACCCGGGCAGGGCUGUGCCCUCUGGAGAGCAAGGCCUGGCAGUGACACCAGGAGUCAUCCCUGUAAUCAAAGGCCUCAGACUCAGAAGCAGAUGUUAUGUGGGGUUUUUACAUGUGCAGGCUCAUCAACUGCCUUGGAAAAUGGACUGUGUUUACGUCCAAAUCUUGUGCAAGAUCAUCUCAUACCUCUUCUCCUUGGUUUCCUUCCUGUGAAACAGACUGGAGUUCAAGCAUCCACAAGGAUAGCAUGCAGAUAAAUAAUUGAAAGCAUCUUAAAUAACUUGCCUAUGAAGAUCUCUCCCAGUAAUGCAUGUUCCUGCCCAAUUUUGACAAAUGUAUCAGGGCAAGACAGCAAGGCUCUGGACUGAGCUACAUUUUCUCCCCUGAGGAUCUCAGUCUCUCUUGAUCUCCUCUCACCAAAUAACCUGUGUUCAAGUGUGGCUGCUCUCCUGACUGAGCUCCUCUCUGCACCUGUCCCAGCUUGGUUUUCAGGGCAGCCCCCAGCUGUGAACAUGCCAUGCUCAUGGACUCAGAUGUAGGUUCUGCUGUGAGUCUCUUGAACUUGGUAAUGUAUAAUGUGACAAUGACCACUUCUACUAAAGCACUUCUUUUACA